rnacentral:rRNA from 1 species
GGAUGUGCCGANAGGUGAAAGCUUAAGUGCCUGGAGAUGAGCUCGCGUCUGAUUAGCUAGUAGGUGUGGUAAAUGCGCACCAAGGCAAAGAUCGGUAGCCGGCNUGAGAGGGCACACGGCCACACUGGCACUGAAACACGGGCCAGACUCCUACGGGAGGCAGCAGUGGGGAAUCUUGCACAAUGGAGGCAACUCUGAUGCAGCGACGCCGCGUGAGCGAUGAAGCCCUUCGGGGUGUAAAGCUCUUUCGACGGGAACGAUAAUGACGGUACCCGGAGAAGAAGCUGCGGCUAACUACGUGCCAGCAGCCGCGGUAAUACGUAGGCAGCAAACGUUGUUCGGAAUUACUGGGCGUAAAGAGUGUGUAGGCGGUUUUGUAAGUUUGGUGUGAAAUCUCCCGGCUUAACUGGGAGGGUGCGCCGAAAACUACAAGGCUAGAGUAUUGGAGAGGAAAGCGGAAUUCCUGGUGUAGCGGUGAAAUGCGUAGAUAUCAGGAGGAACACCGGUGGUGUAGACGGCUUUCUGGACAAUUACUGACGCUGAGACACGAAAGCGUGGGGAGCAAACAGGAUUAGAUACCCUGGUAGUCCACGCCCUAAACGAUGCGUACUUGGUGUGGGUCAUUCACUUGAUCCGUGCCGGAGCUAACGCGUUAAGUACGCCGCCUGGGGAGUACGGUCGCAAGGCUGAAACUUAAAUGAAUUGACGG